CCCUAUGACAGGUUUAGAGGAGACAUGGUGCUGUGUAUGCGAAUGUAGGGGGCUUCUGUUCUCCACCUGGUAAAUUCACACCUGUACCCCCCAAGGCAGCCAACAGUGUAGCACAGGCUGAACAUACAUGCAUGUGUAAACUGACACUCCUGCCCUGUGGGAAACAAGCCUGUGUUUUUCUGCCAGGUCACACACACCCUGGCUGAGAUCUGUCAUGGAGCUGUGAAUUGGAACUCAGAAAUCCAAUUGGUCACAUGUCACUGAAAACCAUUUCUUCCUAGUUCCACUGUGCUUUGUGGAAAAACCAAGAUGGGGUCCAAAAGUUGAUCUCAUCCUUGCCUUUUAGCAAGAGACUCAUUUCUUAUGUACUGGUCCUAAGGACACAUACCACAGUUGAGCAAUUUUACUUUGACCCUGAAAUGAUGCCACGGUGCUGCACUGUAAUCUGCGGUUGGAAUGGGUGCGUUAGGUGGUGACGGCUCCUCAGUAAAGGGGGUAGCUGUUUCUCAAGUUCUUUCAGGUGAUGUUAAAAAAAAAAAAGAUGGAUUUUUAAAAAAUCCGGCCAGAUUUAGUGCAUUGUUUAAUGCUGUUGAAUCUUUUGGAUAAUUCUUGGCUUGAUUUCUUUAAACAUCUAGUAAUCAUAGAAAAAAAUUUAAGGUUACAAAAUCAUCAACAGUAGUCAGAGAGGGGAGAAGUCAGUAUGGGUAGCAGGAGGCAGUUACAUUUAUAUUGAUGGUGAAGAACUCUCCCCACUUAGAAUGGAAAACACCCCUAAGUUUGUCAUUGUCGAUGAGUCGGCCUCGACUCGGUACACAAAAU
rnacentral:lncRNA from 1 species